GUUMUYCMYCCCGMCGRUGGCGGCACUGCYCVYCMUCCSGCSWASUCCCCSACCHCCYCYCCUCCKCGGRGGGGGGGCCGGGGCAACAGAACCCACGGCGCCGACGGCGUCAAGGAACACUAUGCCUAACCCGAGGGUGUGGCUGGCUUGCUAGCCMCCCCUCGUGUUGUGAUGCUAUCUAAUCCACACGACUCUCGGCAACGGAUAUCUCGGCUCUCGCAUCGAUGAAGAACGUAGCGAAAUGCGAUACCUGGUGUGAAUUGCAGAAUCCCGCGAACCAUCGAGUCUUUGAACGCAAGUUGCGCCCGAGGCCACCCGGCUGAGGGCACGCCUGCCUGGGCGUCACGCCAAUACACGCUCCCACCACCCUCAUUGGGUUGCGGGAUGCGGAUUCUGGCCCUCCGUGCCGUGAGGCGCGGCGGGCCGAAGAUCGGGCUGCCGGCGUAUCGUGCCGGACACAGCGCGUGGUGGACUUCUACUCAGCGCAGUGCAUUUGGCAUGUAGCCGGCGCAGCGGCCCCAAGAACCCAACGAACGGAGCGCGUCG
rnacentral:misc_RNA from 1 species